UUGGUGGCCGGCAUUGGGGCGGGGAGCUGGUCUUCCCCUCGCCCUCGCAGCUCCCUGCAGGGGCUCUGGCAGCCAGGCUGCCGCAGGGUCCUGCUUGAGAAUCGCUGCCACAUACCAGCCGCCUGCGAGCCCGAUCUUUUCUGAACUUGGCCUCAGUUCACUGCGGACGAGAAUCCGGCAGCCAUCGCGGUGCUGCUGGCUCCCUCGGAUUUGCUGAGCAGGAGGAGGUCGACUCUUAAGGUCUGGCCCCUUCCUGAGGCAUCUCAAACCUGCCGCAGCAACGUACUUGGGUGUCAUUGCCCAUCCAAAGCCCCCCUUGCGUUAGAAAGGUCUCCACAGCUUCACCUGUGCAGCCGCUAGAGGGCUGGCCACCAGCACCGCUCCUUCCGAACGAGCGCGCGUUCCUCCUUCGGGAUCCGUGUGGGAGUGUUUUAUGGAGAAAUGAAAGAAAUGUUUGAGAAAGCAGUACAGUGCUACAGUCAAGUAAUCAGACUGGAAGCCUACGACUGCAGCUCGCUUUUCCAUGUUAUACCUUUCCAGUGCUAAGGGGUGGCUGUGGGGGUAAGCGCUUGGAGCUGUAUGGAUUUAAGGACCCCUGUACACGGAAAGUGGAUCACGCAAGGCCGUUACGCACCGCGCUGCAGACACUGAUACACGGCUUCUGGCUCAGAGAGAUCAUGUGCAGAGCAGGUUGUUUGAGUGCUUCACCACCUGGUACAAUUUGUCUUGCGGUGGAGAUAUAGCCCUAAGGAUUUAAGAAGCCACAUCCAAAAUGCUACAGUAUUUUGGAGGCAGCCUCCCCCCUGAGCCUGCGCUUUUCCAGACUGAAGAGUCCCAUGGUUCUCAGCCUCUCUUCAUAAGGCUUGUUCUCUUGCCCGCUGAUCAUAUGCGUGGCUCUCCUCUGGCCUCAAGCUUCUCAACAUCCUUGAAUUGUGGAGCCCAGAAUUGGAUGGAGUACUCCAGCUGCGGCCUCACCAAGGCCAAGGGCAGCUGGAGGAUAACUUAGAUUCAUAGAUGUUAGGGUCGGAAGGGACCUCAACAGAUCAUCGAGUCCGACCCCCAAGUAAAUUUACUCAAGUAAAUCUGUGAGCAACAGAAUGCAUUACAUGUUAACAUUAUGAUAACUGCAUGAUUCCCAGCAGAGCACGGUUGCUAUUACAGAAGGAUCACCACAUUUAGCACCUUUGUAGCAAUGUAGGGAGCCCUUCAGUCCAUCACCAAGUUUAGUCUCCUCAUGUUACAAGCAACCAAUUCCUUUCAAAACAGGGUGGAAAGGUUUAAUGGCACAAUAGGACCUGACCCCUGAUCUCAAGAAUUGCACCUCCUACCAUGCCACAUGCAAUUGUUGGGAUUGGGGAUCAGCGCCUAGUUGGACAACCUGCAGCAGGGAGCCCUGGGCACAGGUUCAUAAGGUGUCAGCUGGGGGAGUCAAUACACUGUCUCCCACACCCAGAAGCUGCAAACCCACAGGUUCCCAUACUGUGACCCCAGGAUCAAAGAGCCUCUGCAUCUCCAACAGGAGCUAUGGAGCAAGGCACUUUAAUAUGCCAGGUAACAGGAAGCUGGCAUUUUGAAGUGCUUGAAAGGGUAAGGCACGAAAGGCUGCAGGGCACAGAAGUUCCCUUGUUCCUUCAGGGGGAGCCCCUCAGCUUCCCCUUGCAACCGACUCCCUUGACAGCCCAUUUUUGGCAUCAGUGCACAUUAAUAGUACCCUGAAUGUUAGUGUGUGCCAGGGCCACAAAUCGAACUGUUGCAGGACAAAAGCCAAAAAUAAAAUAGCCAUGGACAUAUAGUCAUUUUCCUUAGCUUUGGAGACAGCCCCUCUCAGAGCCCAGGUGUGAGCGAAAGGCUAAGGGAUAGAGCAACAAAGCUUUUGACCUCAGAUACCUUAUUUUCUUUUUCACUAUAAAACUGGCAUAUUUGUCACAUGGAGCAUAGAUCCCCUGGAUUCGACUAAAAACUAGGGCUUCUACGAAAAAGACUGUAGAUCUUCCGUUUGAUCUUCAUCCACUCUGAAUGAAUACAGAAGCUCAUGGGGUGGGUUUCUAAAGAGACUUGUGGGCAGCCUGAAAGAGAAAAAAUAAAGUCUAAUGCCAGGGGCCCAGCUUUUUUAAAGCAUCUACACAAAAAUAUUGAACAGCAUCCCAUAUGCAAAGGGCAAAGAGGGAUGUGUGUUUGUGCAAUUCUAUCCCUGUAAAAGAUAUGAAGUUCCCAAGCAGCUUGUGCACAUGUGGAGGUUUAUGCCACUGAACCUCAACACAGGAAUGGGAACACAAGAUGUACUCCUUGAACUGGACAUGAGUUUAUGCAGCCUCACUAAUAGCAGGUAUAGUCUGAAUGCCUCUGACAGUAUAGCCAAGCUCCCAGUCCUGAGCUCUUCCCAUUUAUUAAAAAAAAUUGUUAUAACUUUUCUCUUAUCUCGCGUUACUUUUCUUGCAAGAUUCUCAUGUCCUUUCACAUUUUCUUCAUAUUUUUGUGGCCAUGUGGAAUUUCACUCAUAAAAAAAACUGCAUUAAUGUAUACACACAAUUACUCAGAGGUCAUAAAAGCUUCUCUUAUCUCAUUACUCCUGCUGCACUUGUGAGCCUUUUUCUUUCAAAUAUUUCCAAAAUACUGAUUGUCUUUAGUUAGAACCUUGAAGACAUGAGCUUCAGAUUAUCCCCACACACUGUUAACUUGCAAAAAUAACCACUACUUGUUAUAGGUGGCCAGAACAGAUAUCCACACUGAAAAUUCAUGGACAGGUACUCUCUCUUGCAUACAUAUAAAAUAUUUAUAUUUACAAAUUCUAAUCAAAGAUACACAGUCAUGUCUACACAGAGAAAGCCUAUUGCAUAUGGCUAAAUCAAAUUUCUCUUCUGAGGAAAACAACGGAAUGCAGGGGUGGCAAACACAGCAAAGAUAAAUGCAGAUCUCAAGCUAGUCAAAAUAAUUUUUCCUCUGCUGAUUGAACUGUUGCAUGUAGCUCAAGGGGAAGCAUUCCUACUCAUUUUAAAAUAUAUUGAUCAUGACAACAAAGAUAUAUUCAGUUUACUUUUAUUAAGCUGACGAUUACUAAUCAAACACAAAGUUUAAAAUUAAAAAGUACUUGAAUAACCAGUUAUUGUGAAGUGCCUUUAUUAGUUCAAUAAACUAUGACUUUGCAACUAUUUUAUAGAUUAGAGCCAAUUUCACUUAAUGCCUUGUGUACAGAUUCUCUAUGAACAAAUAGUCAAAGCUGAAUGUUCCAAUUUUCGCGAUUCCAAUGACACUCAUGCAACUUUAACAUCCAAAUUAUAAACUGUUCCUUGGAAAUCAAAAUACCAUGUGCAGAACAGUCACAUACUAAGGUACAGUCAGCCAAUAACUACAUAAUGUUAUUUAUGUGAAUUUGUAUGUUAGAAGUGAACAAAGUUACUAAAUCAUUGCCUCAACUUUUGCCCAUUUCACACUAGCCUGCAACUCCCAUCAACUUUAAACACUACACAAAAAAACUCAGUAAAA